CGCGGGGUGGAGCAGUCUGGUAGCUCGUCGGGCUCAUAACCCGAAGGUCGUUGGUUCAAAUCCAGCCCCCCGCAACCA
rnacentral:tRNA from 3 species